CGGCGCACGGGUGCGUAACGCGUAUGCAAUCUACCUUUCACAAAGGAAUAGCCCAGAGAAAUUUGGAUUAAUACCUUAUAGUAAUACGACUUGGCAUCAAGAUGUAUUUAAAGAUUUAUCGGUGAAAGAUGAGCAUGCGUCCCAUUAGCUAGUUGGUAAGGUAACGGCUUACCAAGGCAACGAUGGGUAGGGGUCCUGAGAGGGAGAUCCCCCACACUGGUACUGAGACACGGACCAGACUCCUACGGGAGGCAGCAGUGAGGAAUAUUGGACGAUGGGCGCAAGCCUGAUCCAGCCAUGCCGCGUGCAGGAUGACGGUCCUAUGGAUUGUAAACUGCUUUUAUACGAGAAGAAACACUCCGACGUGUCGGAGCUUGACGGUAUCGUAAGAAUAAGGAUCGGCUAACUCCGUGCCAGCAGCCGCGGUAAUACGGAGGAUCCAAGCGUUAUCCGGAAUCAUUGGGUUUAAAGGGUCCGUAGGCGGUCAGGUAAGUCAGUGGUGAAAUCCCCGGGCUCAACCUGGGAAUUGCAUCUGUGAC
rnacentral:rRNA from 1 species